CUCCCGAUUUCUGAUUCCGCCUCCGCUUCCAAAGGUGGCAAGAAAAGCCCCACCAUGACAAAGAAAGGUGCCUUUGCUGCCAUUUCUUACAUGGUUUGUGUUGAUUAGUUACAACUUUCUUUUCUUCUCCAGGAUUACCAGUUUAUGACAUGUAAUCUGUGUUCUUUUCCAACUUAAAUUUGUGUUUUCCAACUUAAAUUUGGGUUUUCAUUUUAGUGUAUGUGAUAGUGUUAAGAGUUCCUGAAGGCCAAGGUGUUAUUUGAAGUAAUAUUUAUUUAUUUAUUUCUUACUUUUGUACCAGGAUGACAGAAAUACACACUUUUCUUCCAAAUAAUAUUUGUCUCAGUAUUAUGUUAUGUCUUACUUUUAUGAUUAUCACUAACAAUUUUCGUCAUUAAAAAUUAUUGAAAUGCAUGGUUGGUCCCUAAUCUAUUGAGAAAGUAGAAGUGGCUGCUGACCUUUCAAAAUAGGUGCAAAAUCAGUCCUCACAGAUAUUAUUGACACUCCUUGCCUUUUCAAUUAUUACAUAAACAUGCAAAAACAAUUAGAGCACGAGUACGUUAAUAUUCUCAAUGUGACAGAG
rnacentral:lncRNA from 1 species